rnacentral:lncRNA from 1 species
UAGCUUCUAAAUGAAUAAUGUCAGAAGAUGUAUCAGUGUUUCUAAUUUGUACUCUUCUUUUUCAUUUGGCAGAUAAACAUUUUCAAUGGAGAUGAUGAAAUCAGUGCAGACAAGGCUGCUUUUAUUUAGAAGAAGGAAUGAAAAGCAUGUUUUUAAGCUAGUGGAUUGGCAAAUCGAGUCAAAGGUUUUAAAGGAUCUGGCUGCUGCCCGACUGAUUUAAAGAAUAUCAUUUUCUGAUGAAAUAGGGGGAAAAGAAGGUGCUAGGGGGUGAAGAAGUAUGGGAUUUUAUCACCAAAGACCUCAGAGCAACCUGAGUGCCAGAGUUCUGGACUUGGACAGAAUAACUGGUCCUAAACUUGCCCUCCUGCUGCCAGACAGAAGGCACAAGGCAACUAUUUUGAUCUCCACUGGAAAAUAAGACACAAAGUAGUUUGAUUCUGCAGAGAAAAGAAACAAGUAAGGUAAACCUCACAUUUGCCUGAGCUUUCUUCCUUGAAUAUUUUUCUGGUUAUAAUGUCGAAGCAGACUAAGGUAAUCAAACCGAGCAGAACAGACGAUUAGAUUUUGGAUCUGGUGAAGUAGCUGAAUUUUCAGGGCAAGAACUAGGAAGGAGAGACAUAUGCAGGGAAAGAACCCAGAAGUUUGCACAGGUAUUCCCACAGGUGUUUGGCUAUGCACAGGGUGAAACUCUAUGAGGUAUACCAGAGAACAGCUAUUGCAAGAGUGAGCACUGAACAGAGAUACCAGAAAAUGAAUUAGAGUUGCCCAGCCAGACUAAGGCGACUGUGAGUGCCUUAGGCAUUCUGCUGCAUCCCAAGAAAGACUAUGCUUUAGGAAUAAAGACCAUGGUCUAGGAUUAGGUACA